AUGCCUGUAAACACAGAACCUUUGGCAUUACAGCAACCUUUUCAACCUUCACCCGUUCUGGAUGCACCGCCUCUCACUGAGAAUAGCCCAACAGAAAACCUUGGGUUUACAGAUGCUUCUGCAAAAAGAAACACGGAGCGUGGGCCCCAUGGAAUGGGAACAAAGGGCAGACUGUGGAGGUUACUGUGUGUGUUGUACGGGAACAACAAGGAUUUCUUUGUGAGAGCGACACCACCAAAGCCCAAGGCUUUUGUCUUGAUACUGAACAGAAUGUUUGUCGUUUUGAAAUACAUCUCGAUGAAAACCCCGAAACUGCACUUGUAUCUGUUGGAAAAGGAGGUGUUUGUGUGAGAACCAUGAGUCUCUGAGCGCAAACAACUAUCAGUAUCCUAUUUAUGGCCCAGAGGCAAGAGGUGACCGCACCACCACUCUGUGAAGGUAAGAUGAAUUGACUAAAGUCACGGGGGGGGGGUGUGUGGCACUGUGCUCUCCCUAUUUUUUCCCCUCUUCUUCCCCCUCCCUACCCCACCCCCAACUCCUACUCGGGCCACGGCCACCAUGGCCAUCACAACAUCCAUUGGGAUAAGUUGCACCGGGACUUUGGGGGAUGGCUGGCAACGUAGCCAAAACACCCCCUGGAGUGGAGACCUAGAUAUUUUGUUCCCAGGAGAAUAUAAGUCUAGGUCAAUUAUCUUCCUCUGUAAUUAGGAGACAGCCUCAGAGUCCUUGGAGCUCUCCUGGAUGGCAGCGGCUGCAGGCCAGGAUCUCCCCUGUGGUGAGGACGCUCGCUUAAGGAUCUACUCCUCGAGGCUGAGAGACUCCUUGCCCCAACAGAUUCUGGGUAAGUGACAAAUAGCCUGCUAACCUGUGAAAUCUUAGCUAAGGAACAUAAAGGGUUGAAUGCGCAGAUCUACUCCUUCGGCCAUAAAGUGCUGCCCAAAAAGCCCGUAGGGGUUGUGUAGGGGUCUGCAGGGGUCUGCAGGGGUGUUUAGGGGUCUACAGGGGUCUUUUGGGGUCUGUAGGGUUCCGUAGGGGUCUGUAGGGGUCUUCAGGUUUGUACAGGGGUCUGUAGGUGUUUGUAGGGGUCUGCAGGGGUUCGUAGGGGUCUACAGGGGUCUGCAGGGGUCCCUAGGGGUGCGUAGGGGUCUUUAGAAGACUGUAGAGGUCUGCAGGGGGCUUCAGGGGUCUGUA
rnacentral:lncRNA from 1 species